CCUACGGGAGGCAGCAGUGGGGGAUAUUGCACAAUGGGGGAAACCCUGAUGCAGCAACGCCGCGUGAGCGAAGAAGUCUUUCGGUUUGUAAAGUUCUUUUGACAGGGAAGAGUAGAAGACGGUACCUGUCGAAGAAGCCACGGCUAACUACGUGCCAGCAGCCGCGGUAAUACGUAGGUUGCAAGCGUUGUCCGGAUUUACUGGGUGUAAAGGGCGCGUAGGCGGGUUGACAAGUCAGAUGUGAAAUCCUGCGGCCUAACCGCGGAACUGCAUUUGGAACUGUUGAUCUUGAGUGCUGGAGAGGCAGGCGGAAUUCCUAGUGUAGCGGUGAAAUGCGUAGAUAUUAGGAGGAACACCAGUGGCGAAGGCGGUCUGCUGGACAGCAACUGACGGUGAGGCGCGAAAGCGUGGGGAGCAAACAGGAUUAGAUACCCCUGUAGUC
rnacentral:rRNA from 1 species